rnacentral:misc_RNA from 1 species
CAACCCUCAAGCUCAGCUUGGUAUUGGGUGUCACCGGUUAGGUGCUCCUUAAAAUCAGUGGCGGUGCCAUUCAGCCUCGAGCGUAGUAAUACUUCUCGCUUUUGAGGUUUAGGAUGUGUGCUUGCCAGCAAAUGUAAUUUUUCAAA